AUUGAACGCUGGCGGCAUGCCUUACACAUGCAAGUCGAACGGUAACGCGGGGCAACCUGGCGACGAGUGGCGAACGGGUGAGUAAUGUAUCGGAACGUGCCCAGUUGUGGGGGAUAACUGCUCGAAAGAGCAGCUAAUACCGCAUACGACCUGCGGGUGAAAGCGGGGGAUCGCAAGACCUCGCGCAAUUGGAGCGGCCGCUAUCAGAUGAGGUAGUUGGUGGGGUAAAGGCUCACCAAGCCGACGAUCUGUAGCUGGUCUGAGAGGACGACCAGCCACACUGGGACUGAGACACGGCCCAGACUCCUACGGGAGGCAGCAGUGGGGAAGUUUGGACAAUGGACGCAAGUCUGAUCCAGCCAUGCCGGGUGCGGGAAGAAGGCCUUCGGGUUGUAAACCGCUUUUGUCAGGGAAGAAAAGGCUCCUUCUAAUAUAGGGGGCUCAUGACGGUACCUGAAGAAUAAGCACCGGCUAACUACGUGCCAGCCGCCGCGGUAAGAC
rnacentral:rRNA from 1 species